rnacentral:misc_RNA from 1 species
UUCUGUGAUUUCUCAAUAGAUUGAACAAAGAAUUGGAUGUUCCUGGUUUCUUUCUAGUUUUGACAAAUUAGGUAGGUAAGUUGUUAGAGUCUGGAUAUGCCAGUGAAUCUAAAUGCAAACCAGGAAUUGAGAGAAACAGCUGUAGAUUGUAGAAGGAAGAUGUGGAAGAUUGUGCUCGCUAAUUGUUUGUCGUUUUGCAAUGUUUACUAAUGCAAGCGAUGGUGUUUUAGAAUUCUGGGCUCAGAAAUCAUUGUUGCGAU